rnacentral:rRNA from 1 species
UGAGGAAUAUUGCGCAAUGGAGGAAACUCUGACGCAGCAACGCCGCGUGAGUGAAGAAGGCUUUCGGGUUGUAAAGCUCUGUCAGGUGGGAAGAAACCUUUAUAGUUGAAUAGGCUAUAAAACUGACGGUACCACCAAAGGAAGCACCGGCUAACUCCGUGCCAGCAGCCGCGGUAAGACGGAGGGUGCAAGCGUUGUUCGGAAUCACUGGGCGUAAAGCGCGUGUAGGCGGCUUGACAAGUCGAAUGUGAAAGCCCGGGGCUCAACCUCGGAAGUUCAGUCGAAACUGUCAAGCUUGAGUACGGGAGAGGGAAGUGGAAUUCCUGGUGUAGAGGUGAAAUUCGUAGAUAUCAGGAGGAACACCGGUGGCUAAGGCGGCUUCCUGGACCGAUACUGACGCUGAGACGCGAAAGCGUGGGGGGCAAACA